AGCGAACGCUGGCGGCAGGCUUAACACAUGCGAGUCGGGCGCCCCGCAAGGGGAGCGGCAGACGGGAGAGUACCACGUGGGAACAUACCUUUUGGUUCGGAACAACUGAGGGAAACUUCAGCUAAUACCGGAUAAGCCCUUACGGGGAAAGAUUUAUCGCCGAAAGAUUGGCCCGCGUCUGAUUAGCUAGUUGGUGAGGUAACGGCUCACCAAGGCGACGAUCAGUAGCUGGUCUGAGAGGAUGAUCAGCCUCACUGGGACUGAGACACGGCCCAGACUCCUACGGGAGGCAGCAGUGGGGAAUAUUGGACAAUGGGGGCAACCCUGAUCCAGCCAUGCCGCGUGAGUGAUGAAGGCCUUAGGGUUGUAAAGCUCUUUUGCCCGGGAAGAUAAUGACGGUACCGGGAGAAUAAGCCCCGGCUAACUUCGUG
rnacentral:rRNA from 1 species